GAUGAAGAACGUAGCGAAAUGCGAUAAGUAAUGUGAAUUGCAGAAUUCAGUGAAUCAUCGAAUCUUUGAACGCACAUUGCGCUCGCCAGUAUUCUGGCGGGCAUGCCUGUUCGAGCGUCAUUACAACCCUCAGGCCCCCGGGCCUGGCGUUGGGGAUCGGCGGAAGCCCCCUGUGGGCACACGCCGUCCCUCAAAUACAGUGGCGGUCCCGCCGCAGCUUCCAUUGCGUAGUAGCUAACACCUCGCAACUGGAGAGCGGCGCGGCCAUGCCGUAAAACACCCAACUUCUGAAUGUUGACCUCGAAUCAGGUAGGAAUACCCGCUGAACUUAAGCAUAUCAAUAAGCGGAGGA
rnacentral:misc_RNA from 1 species